rnacentral:rRNA from 1 species
ACAUGCAAGUCGAGCGAACGGACGAGAAGCUUGCUUCUCUGAUGUUAGCGGCGGACGGGUGAGUAACACGUGGAUAACCUACCUAUAAGACUGGGAUAACUUCGGGAAACCGGAGCUAAUACCGGAUAAUAUUUUGAACCGCAUGGUUCAAAAGUGAAAGACGGUCUUGCUGUCACUUAUAGAUGGAUCCGCGCUGCAUUAGCUAGUUGGUAAGGUAACGGCUUACCAAGGCAACGAUGCAUAGCCGACCUGAGAGGGUGAUCGGCCACACUGGAACUGAGACACGGUCCAGACUCCUACGGGAGGCAGCAGUAGGGAAUCUUCCGCAAUGGGCGAAAGCCUGACGGAGCAACGCCGCGUGAGUGGUGAAGGUCUUCGGAUCGUAAAACUCUGUUAUUAGGGAAGAACAUAUGUGUAAGUAACUGUGCACAUCUUGACGGUACCUAAUCAGAAAGCCACGGCUAACUACGUGCCAGCAGCCGCGGUAAUACGUAGGUGGCAAGCGUUAUCCGGAAUUAUUGGGCGUAAAGCGCGCGUAGGCGGUUUUUUAAGUCUGAUGUGAAAGCCCACGGCUCAACCGUGGAGGGUCAUUGGAAACUGGAAAACUUGAGUGCAGAAGAGGAAAGUGGAAUUCCAUGUGUAGCGGUGAAAUGCGCAGAGAUAUGGAGGAACACCAGUGGCGAAGGCGACUUUCUGGUCUGUAACUGACGCUGAUGUGCGAAAGCGUGGGGAUCAAACAGGAUUAGAUACCCUGGUAGUCCACGCCGUAAACGAUGAGUGCUAAGUGUUAGGGGGUUUCCGCCCCUUAGUGCUGCAGCUAACGCAUUAAGCACUCCGCCUGGGGAGUACGACCGCAAGGUUGAAACUCAAAGGAAUUGACGGGGACCCGCACAAGCGGUGGAGCAUGUGGUUUAAUUCGAAGCAACGCGAAGAACCUUACCAAAUCUUGACAUCCUUCGACAACUCUAGAGAUAGAGCCUUCCCCUUCGGGGGACAAAGUGACAGGUGGUGCAUGGUUGUCGUCAGCUCGUGUCGUGAGAUGUUGGGUUAAGUCCCGCAACGAGCGCAACCCUUAAGCUUAGUUGCCAUCAUUAAGUUGGGCACUCUAAGUUGACUGCCGGUGACAAACCGGAGGAAGGUGGGGAUGACGUCAAAUCAUCAUGCCCCUUAUGAUUUGGGCUACACACGUGCUACAAUGGACAAUACAAAGGGCAGCGAAACCGCGAGGUCAAGCAAAUCCCAUAAAGUUGUUCUCAGUUCGGAUUGUAGUCUGCAACUCGACUACAUGAAGCUGGAAUCGCUAGUAAUUGUAGAUCAGCAUGCUACGGUGAAUACGUUCCCGGGUCU